rnacentral:rRNA from 1 species
GACGAACGCUGGCGGCGUGCUUAACACAUGCAAGUCGAACGAAGAGCGACGGAAGCUUGCUUCUAUCAAUCUUAGUGGCGAACGGGUGAGUAACGCGUAAUCAACCUGCCCUUCAGAGGGGGGCAACAGUUGGAAACGACUGCUAAUACCGCAUACGAUCUAACCUCGGCAUCGAGGAUAGAUGAAAGGUGGCCUCUACAUGUAAGCUAUCACUGAAGGAGGGGAUUGCGUCUGAUUAGCUAGUUGGAGGGGUAACGGCCCACCAAGGCGAUGAUCAGUAGCCGGUCUGAGAGGAUGAACGGCCACAUUGGGGCUGAGACACGGCCCAGACUCCUACGGGAGGCAGCAGUGGGGAAUCUUCCGCAAUGGACGAAAGUCUGACGGAGCAACGCCGCGUGAGUGAUGACGGCCUUCGGGUUGUAAAGCUCUGUUAAUCGGGACGAAAGGCCUUCUUGCGAAUAGUGAGAAGGAUUGACGGUACCGGAAUAGAAAGCCACGGCUAACUACGUG